ensembl:lncRNA
UCCCCUUCAGUUUUCCUCAUAAUUUUUAAAACCUUUGUGAAAUCUGACUACUGGUUACACAGGUAUGGAAUGGUACUGAUAAGCUGUGCCUCUGUGGCAGCCAUGUGUCCCCCUGGAAGCCUGGUGCACUGCUUUGCUGUCUGCAGCGUUGCACACCUUUUGUUUUUGUCUGAGUUUCCCCACUGCUGCUCAUGCUGACCUGCCUUCAGCCUUUGAUAGGACUGGAAUGUGUUGCUGUGGCUCUCUCCAGCUCUUUACUUCUCCUGGAAGAGUCAUUUCUUCUUUCAGCCUUUGCUCACAGUCUGCACUUCUGCACCACUGGUGUCCCUUUGUGCCCAGCUGGCCCAAAUCCCCACCGUGGCCAGAACAGGGCCAGAUCCUCCAUCCCAUGCCAUACCAGCCCUGUGCUGGCUGCACACAAUGGCACACUGCUGCACCGUUUCUCACACGAUGACAUCCACCUUUUCCACUUGAGCACACUGCUGUUGGCUGCAGUUCUGCUGAAGAUUUGCAGUGGCACACAGGUCUUGUGGAGCGCUGACAGAUUCAGCUGCUGCCCGUCCCGAGUCCCGGCCAAAUCCCAUUCAGCCCAUCUGAUUUCACCAUAGUAACUGGGACUGUUCUUUUUCCUCCCCUCAGGGCAGCUUGGAAGUGGGGCACAGAGUCAGCAGAACGCAUAACCCCCUUGCAAUGUGCACACACCGUAUGCACUCUUUUCCUGUGCCCUGGGCUAUUAUAUUUGCAGAUGUGGAAUUUGUUAUCCUUGCCAACAGGAUCUUAACCUAUGACUCUUUGGUGCCUGCAUCUUUGUGUGAUGCCUCAGCUACAAUGCAUGGUGCCUAUUUUGAUACAUCCUUGCUGUGGUCAGGAGCUGCUGACAGCCCUGAAUGCGUGUGCAGCUCCUGUGGGAGUGUCCCCGUGGUGCCCAGAGCUGCUUCUUGUCAUUAGUGUGGGCUCAGGUAUGCACUUCAGGCCACAAAGGAGCUAUGGAAAGCCCUGUAAAUACAAACACACAAUAUGGCAAACCCCAGAUCUCUUUUCCUCACCUCCCUUCCAGCUUCUCACUCCUUCUGCCAUAACCAUCACAAAUAGUUUCCUUCCGCCCACCAGGAGGGAAAGGCUAAAUGCAUCCCUUAUCAUCCUCCAGCUGAGCUCUCUGAGUCAUCUUGCCUGUGAGUUUCUGCCUCCUCUCCUUGCUCCUUGGCCUCGCUCUCUGCAGGAUCAGCUCACAGCUGCCACUCCCUUGCAGAACCCCAUGCCAGGCAAAGUGCAUCAGAGCAAGAUGGGCUCUGCUGUGCAGAGUGUGAGUGCUGCAUUUCCAACUCCGCCUGAAUCCUAACAGUAAUAGAAAACGUGCAAGACAGCAGUUUUCAUUCGUGUGCACAGCGCUUUAAAUUACAGCAAGGAUUGGGCAUGGUGCAGGGAGUGGAUCUGAGCUUCAGUGUCUGGAUGUUUGCAGAGAGAUGCUCACACAAACUCUCCUUUAACAACAAUAUUUUUCUUUCCAUCUUAAAUAUAACACAGCCACUUUGGACUUCAACAUUUCUCCUGCGGGGCUCCAACGUCAGAACAAAGUCUUGUUGUUAUUUUGCCAAACUGAAGUACUGGGAUGUGGAUGGAGCAAAAACUGAGUAAUCACUGAAUCGUUGAGCUAUCAGUUACCAUCAGUGACAGCUCCUGGAGCUGUUUGGGAAUCCCAGCCGUGAGAAACCUCUAUUGCUUUGGGCCAAGUCCUGCUCCUCCAUGGCUGCUGAAUGAAUGGCCCCUGCCAGUGCUGAAGGACCCUGGAAGAAAAACGUGUCUCUGAUCUCCACUUUGGAGCAGAGCUGCUUCUGUCUUGGCCCAGCUACAGACCUUGCUGCCUUGUGCCGGAGCAGGCAGGUAAUACAAAAUAAAGUUUGGCUUCUUUAUAAUGCUGGCAAAAUGAGAAGACUUGGGCAAGUGCAGAGACUGGGAGAGUGGAGGAGAAGGUUCCCUCUUUGUAACCUGUAGCCUGGGUGAGUGAUCAAGGUCUAACAUGGUCUGACUUCCCCUCCUGCCAACAUUGUACUCAUUAGUGUGUCUGGGCUGGUACUUGUCACAUAACAGAAAGAAAGGCUGAGAGGUGUAUCCAGCCCUGAUAAUUGCUGAUUAGAUCUUUAACUAAAAUUAGCUGGGUAAGAGUUGGCCUUAAGAUGGGUCUGAGUGUUCUGUAUCCUAGCUGGUUCAGAACUGUUCAUAACGAUCAGAACUAUCUUAGGGACUGUAUUUGAACAAGCUCUUAUUUUCUGGUGCCAAGUGCAUGGCUGUUUAGGAACAGCUCUGUCCAAGCGAAUCUGCUCAAAGCAAAACCAUAAUUCUUGGCUGACUCCAACUUGUUAACUAUUGAUAUUGCUUCUGUGAUGUAUUGCUUAAUUUUAAUUAUUCCAGUUUGGGGAGACUUAUUUACUUAUAGUGCCUCAUUAGAGUGAGGUUUCUAAUCGAUGAGUUCAACAGGAACAUCUUGAAGUGACUAAAUUAACCAAGUGGGAAGGUAGCUAGGUGAUAGUUUAGUGACCUCCUGGUACUUGGGAGAGCUUGAGCUUCCCACUGCAGUUGGACACAAGAACUGUUGUCCUCCAGCUCUUUCCAUGCACUGCUAUACAGAUAAACCCAGACAGCUCCUACAGCUUCCCCACCACCUUGGUUUUAUCACCAUGUCUCAGGGUUGUUCUGACUUGGCAGAAGAGCUGAACUGGGAUGUUGUGACAGAUCUGUGACAUCUUCUGUUCAGACUUCCAUUAUCCAUUAUUUCAUUGCCCUUCCAUUAUCACCAUAUUCGAACCAGUUGUUUUGUGCAGAACAACAGGAACAGAGGGCAGUGGGCUAAAAACAUCCCUGCCUGAGCCAGUCCUCUCCACACCACUGCUGGGUCUGAGCACAUCAACUGACUGGGAGUACCCCCACUGCUGGUUCAUUCUGCAGCAUACAGCCCUGGGAAAUGUCCCUAGGGUGGGGCUCCCACAUCUCCCUUGGCACCACUACCCUGUUGGUAAAUAAAUAACUGCCAAACUACAGUCAUCACACGUGGCCAGUCAAAUAUCAGCUUUGUCCUGGUUUUAUGCUUACCAUCCUGCGGUGUUGGUUCCCACGAGACUCCUGGGUUUGCACUAAACCCAAAGCCAGUGAUCAGCCUGUGGUGCAGCUUGGAUGGAGAUGAGAUUCAGGUGAACCUGGGAGAAAAAGACAUCUCUGAGGGUAAGGAUCAGUGCAAAGCCCAGUGCUGUGCUCUGCAGCUACAGCUGUUCUUCUCCUGUCUGCCUAUCUUUGUGACUAUCUAGACUGGAUGUCCCGAGCCAUUUUAUUACUUAGUAUUUCACUCUCAUGUGGUCCUUGUAUAAAUCCUUACAGUGUCUCAUGCAUUAUGACUCUGAAUAUCUUAGCACCAUCAGCAAGUUUUGCCAUUCCUUUUUUUUUUCAAUUUCUUUUCUAGAUUAUUUACAAAUACACUGAAGAGCGCAGACUGAGACCCCUCUACAGAAUGGCAAUAGAUUUGAGGUGUUCCUUUCUCGAAGGAAAACCACUUUUUUUUUCUUUUUUACCCCCAGUAUUUCAGAUGUAUCCAAAGGCACACUAAUAUUCUUUCUAUCAUUUUGGCCGAGUGUCACUUCACAGUCUGUAACAACCCCAAACCCUUCCCAUUUGUUACCCUGCAGCUCCCAGACAUGGAAGCUGCCAUGCACAGUGAUUACCUGCUACAAUUAAGUAAUUGAAUUGUUUCAUCCUGGUUCCUCAUCCUGAGCACUUAAGAGAAUGCCACUUCAGCCCAGUGAAUUUGCAGUCUUUGGUUUGGCUAUUUUUUCCUCAGCCUCCUCAGCAGGUAGCUUGAAUGUAAGUCAAAUCCUGUGCCAUGUCCUUACACAGAGUUUUGGCACAGAUGCUUCUCAGAGCUUGUCCUCGCCGACUGUGGUUGCAAAACACCCACUUUGUUCUUUUCCUUGUUCCCACCUUAUCUCCUGUGAGAGCUCCUGUUGCACCAUGGCCAACUUCUGACUCUCCAGCAGGCUUCCUGUGCUUCAUGUGUUUGAAGAGGAUUUAUUAUUAUUUGCUUUUGCUUUUUUGCCAGUGGUUCACGUAACUGUUUUUUUGCUUGCCUUAUUUCCAUUUUGUUUUUAAAUUUAAAUGGUCAGGAUACACAUUCUUUUGCUCAUUUAGACAAAAAUUACUUUUCUAAGCAUUAAAAGUCUGCAUCCUUAACGUCUGAAGGUCAUUGGCCCUUCUCAUCUCAGCUUCAUCUUAGACCUAACAAGGCAUAGGACUCAGGAUCUCACACUGGACUAAUACCUGUUUUUUGGUUUGCAAGGAUUCUGUGAUACCAGAUUUUUCCAGCAUGACACAUUUAUAUAGAUAAAAAUCAUCAGUGGCUAGGAUGGAUUUUGCCUGUCUCAGGUUUGGAGUAUUUCACCUUCACCAGUGGAAGGAGGAGAGCAUUUCUCUGACUAGAUAUGAUUGUUUUUGAAGCAAUUUUGGGGUGUGCUCCCCUAGCAUGGAGCAAGCUGGGCAGGGAGCCCCACCAGAGGAGGUUUGGGGUGCGGGCAGAGGGACUGAGAUGCUCCCUGCCUCCUCGGCCUGUUUGCCUACAUGCAUCUGGAAGGCCUGUUGCCAUGGAGAAGUGAUGGGGAACCGUCUGCCUGGCUCGCCUGACUCUUUUCCUAGCACGAAGUAAAGGCAUUUCGCCAGCUUUAAUGAGCUGUAGGCGCUUGGCACAGUGGCUGCAUCCCCAUCUUUGUCACACUGGGCUGCCUGAACCCCCAGAUUCCAGGAGAGAUCUGAAAGCAGAGAGGAAACCUGAAGUGCAGGUGGGGAAGGGAGCAGAGUGCAAGAUGGAAACUGCAAGGAGAUUAGGAGCCAGGGAGUGAUGGAGCAGGGCCCUCCGCAGGGGUGCAUGAGCUCUGGUUAUGAAUUGCAACAAGGGAAAUUCUGAUCAGUCAUGGAAAAAACUCCUUCCCUGUGAGAGUGGCAUAGCCCCAAGAUGGACACUGGAGAGCUCCAAAGCCCAUCAUCCAGCCAAGCUCUGAGCAGUGCCUUGAAGUGAGCCCAGCGCUGAGGCUCACUGAGCGGUGGAUGAGGGCGUUUGAAAGAGCUCCCAGAGGAGCACGCAUGGCAGAUAGUGGCCUGAAAGUGGGGUGAAGGUGGAGGCAUCCCUCUCUUCCAUUUUGGAACUGACAGUACUGAGCACUGCUUCACUCGCUGUAAUUGCAUGGUUCACAU